GGGUUCGAUCCUGGCUCAUAUUGAACGCUGGCGGGAUGCUUUACACAUGCAAGUCGAACGGCAGCACGGACUUCGGUCUGGUGGCGAGUGGUAUGAACGGUGAGUAAUGUAUCGGAACGUGCCUAUAGUAGCGGGGGAUAACUACGCGAAAGCGUAGCUAAUACGCAUACGCCCUUCGGGGAAAGGACCUUCGGGCCUGGCACUAUUAUUAGGAGCGUCGAUAUCGGAUUAGCUGUUGGUGGGGUAACGGCUCACCAAGGCGACGAUCCGUAGCUGGUUUGAGAGGACGACCAGCCACACUGGGACUGAGACACGGCCCAGACUCCUCCCACAGGAGGCAGCAGUGGGGAAUUUUGGACAAUGGGGGAAACCCUGAUCCAGCCAUCCCGCGUGGCGAUGAAGGCCUUCGGGCUGUAAAGCACUUCGCAGGAAGAACGGCACGGAUAAUACCCGCGCAAGGAUUUGUACCUUGCAGAAUACACCGGCUAACUACGUGCCGCUGCAGCCGCGGCUGAUGCAGGGUGCAAGCGCGUUAAUCGGAAUUACUGGGCGUGUCGCGCAGGCGGUUCGGAAAGAAAGAUGUGAAAUCCCAGAGCUUAACUUUGGAACUGCAUUUAACUACCGAGCUAGAGUGUGUCAGAGAGGGAGGUGGAAUUCCGCGUAGCAGUGAAAUGCGUAGAUAUGCGGAGGAACACCGAUGGCGAAGGCAGCCUCCUGGGACAACACUGAGACGCUCAUGCACGAAAGCGCGUGGGGAGCAAACAGGAUUAGAUACCCCGGGUAGUCCACGCCCUAAACGAUGUCAACUAGCUGCUAGCCUUCGGGCCUUGGUAGCGCAGCUAACGCGUGAAGUUGACCGCCUGGGGAGUACGGUCGCAAGAUUAAAACCAAAGGAAUUGACGGGGACCCGCACAAGCGGUGGAUGAUGUGGAUUAAUUCGAUGCAACGCGAAAACCUUACUCACCCUUUGACAUGUCUGGAAUCCCGAAGAGAUUUGGGAGUGCUCGCAAGAGAACCGGAGCACAGGUGCUGCAUGGCUGUCGUCAGCUUCCGUGUCGUGAGAUGUUGGGUUAAGUCCCGCAACGAGCGGCAACCCUUGUCAUUAGUUGGCGCUAUGAGUGGCACUCUAUCGAGACUGCCGGGUGACAAACCGGAGGAAGGUGGAUGACGUCAAGUCCUCAUGGCCCUUAUGGGUAGGGCUUCACACGUCAUACAAUGGUCGGGACAGAGGGUCGCCAACUCCAUGAGGGGGAGCCAAUCCCAGAAACCCGAUCGUAGUCCGGAUCGCAGUCUGCUGCAACUCGACUGUGCGGAAGUCGGAAUCGCUAGUAAUCGCGGAUCAACAGCAUGUCGCGGUGAAUACGUUCCCGGGUCUUGUACACACCGCCCGUCACACUCCAUGGGAGUGGGUUUUACCAGAAGUAGUUAGCCUAACCGUAAGGAGGGCGAUUACCACGGUAGGAUUCAUGACUGGGGUGAAGUCGUAACAAGGUAG
rnacentral:rRNA from 1 species